CCACCCACCCCAGGCCUGGCUGGCUUCAGCCAUGCUCAGUCUCCACACCCUGGCCCGUUUAGUGACUCAUGCUCAGCUCUAUGUAUGUCUCUGCCCAAAACCAGCUCACACUCCAGCUCUUCCCAGUUGGAGACACCAGGAUGAUAAGCCAGAUGAUUUUUUAGACUUCUUUUGUUUUAAGCCUCAUUUUAAUAGUAGGAACGAAUCUGAUUAGCUGUUCAAAUGAGGAAAUUCGGACCCAGCUGAGCGCCCUGGGUCCCAGCUGAGCACCUUGAUUGCUCUGGGACCUCUUCAGGCAACUCCAUAAGCCAGAAACAUUCUGGGAGGGGGCUGGAGACUUCUCACUUAUAAAUUAGGAAUGACGUUGCUUACCUCAAAACUGAGCUGCGGUGAAGACUAAGCAAUUAAAUAAAACGAAGCGACGCUUGUGGAUAGGCAGGGCCUGGCCUAUGUGGACUUGCAGGUUAACCAGUUCAUCUCCAGGGCACUGCUGACCGCGGCCAAAGUUAAACCACACACGGAACAAGGGCCCUGACCUCGGUGGUGGAAGUUGGGUUUGAUGCAACCUUAAGGCUAACGGGCAUGCUAAAGAGACCCCCUGCUGCCCGGGGGAGGCUGGCACUGGGGUGGGGACCUGCCUUGCACCUGCCCAGCCUGGCCACAGAGGGUCGCCCCUUGCCCUUACAAUUCCCCCAUUCCCCUGGAGAAAUCAAUGCCUUGGUGUGGCAGGAAAACCGGGGAAGCAGAAAUUCCGGGGUUAGAGUCUCUCGCCUUGGAGCCACCCUUAGGAGCUGGAGCCUGGCUCCACCUCUUGAGCAGCGGCGCGGCUAAGGGGAUUGGCUGCGAUCCCCCUUGGACUCGUGUUCUCCUCCUCUGUAAAAUACAGAGGGUCACCGCUUCUAUCUCGCUGAGCUACCACUAAGAGCAGUGUAGACUCUGUAAUAGUGCAAAUCGCCCCAGGACGUAUUGGCUGAGAAUACAGUUGGCUUGCUGUCUGAAGAUGUCUAUGAGGGAUUAUCCUAAUUUUGCUAACUGAUGUGGGAAGACCCACCAGUCACCAUGCACUGGACCGUUUCCUGGGCUUGGGAUCCUGGGCUGAAUGACCAGGGGAAAGCUAGCUGAGCACGCUCGCGCCCACUGGCUGGCUCAAGGCCCCGUGUGGUCAUCUAUUCCAAGUCCCCGCCGCGGUGUGCCGCUCCCCGUCCUCCCCUACACUGCUUUUGUUGGGGUUCUUUGCCACGUUUUAUUCCUGGUGUGUCGGCAGACGGUCCCCCUAGCACGGUGGGUGCCACAGGCCCCUUGAAUUAUCGUCACCCGGGGUUCCUACCCGCGAGGCACGAGCGCGAGCCCUGAGAGCCUUUGCGGCUGGUGCUGUACGUGGAGAAACUUGUCAGUUUUAGUAAAUCCCGUUAAUGGUAGCAAUCACUGAGGCUGAAACUCCAGGAGACAAGGCACGGACCCCCUGGUAAGUAGAAUAGAAACCUGUUCUUCUCUUGCAUUGGCUCCUGAGCAUCCCUGGUUUCAAUUUGAAUGAUCCCCGUGUGGGGUUGGUCUUCACCCACCUGCUGCACCUUCUGUGCCCCCGGGAGCCCCCUGAAAGCUGGGCAUUGCGUGUCUGCAUCUCACUGCACGGUUUCUCAUAAUUGCACCUCCAGGAAUGCGGAUUCUAGCAUGCCGACACUUGCUGUGAGCUGUGAAACUCCAAGACCGUGUUAAUAAAACCAACCCUGGAUCACCGGGCGGAGCCAGUGACCUGAGGACAGGAAUGAGCCUUGGAGAGCACGGAGGAGCCAAGAUUUCAGAGAGCGAGGAAGGAGUACGGAGGGACUUGGAGAUUCAGGGUCUUCCUGGUUUGGGACGAGUGGAGAGCGGCAGCUCUUGCUGGGUCUCCAGCCCAAAAGGAAGGUCAGCGGGCUGUGUUUCGGCUUCUCUGACCUAGCAGGUUUCCACCCCAACAUCUGAUUCCCGAUUCUUUAUUGCCACUUCUCCCGCCGUUGUCCUCCUGCUUGAGCGACUUCUGCUGCCGCCGCCACCGGGAACCCCAGCCCCGAACCCCAGCCUCGAAUGCCUCAAAGUUCCUCAGCCACAAACAUCACAGCAGAUUUGGAGAAUGAAGGCAACCAGCUAAGUAAGGAACCUGAAGACCACUGGGCAAAUGAGACAUCCGAAGAAAAAGGAAGAAUCAAUAAGAGAAAGUGGCCCAAGAAAAAGAGUAAAUUGACCUAAUGGUGCAUCACACCUCCAACAGGGUGGAAUUUCAUCAUUUUUCCCUAAUGCUUGUUUUUGCUGCUCUCCACAAACACAAAAGGCAAAUGAUCUUUUUGUGGUCCCAAUUAAACUAAAAUUCAAAGCUGGCUUUGGAGUUGGAGCAUGGCUCUCCUCUUCUCUAAACCCAAGCAGGCUUGUUAAAGAAAAAUCCAAAAUCUCUGUCUCAUGUCAGAAGAGCCACCUGGUAUGGGACAGAAGACAGCCAAAAUUAAGGGACUUUUCUAUGGUCACUAAUCUCAUAAUCCUUUGGUUUUGUUUUGACUCUUUAAAACUUUUCUUAAGAUAUAUCAUCUCAAAAUUUGUAGGAUUAUAUAUAAUAUAUAUCAUACAUAUAGUAUGUAAUAGAUAGUUAUAUAAUAUAUAAUCCUAUACACUUAUAUAACUAUCAUAUAUAAAAUCUGUCAGGAUAUCAGUGGUCAUACAGAGUACUAACUAA
ensembl:lncRNA